AGCAGUAGACUUGCAUCAUACAUAUGGGUCCAAACAGGGCGACGAUGACCAACGUAUAUCCACUUCUACACAACAGCAGGACACAGGUACAUCUUUUGAGGACAACAGCCAUGCAGGUGAACCUAUCAACAAACCAG